UACGAAGGGGGCAAGCGUUGUUCGGAAUUACUGGGCGUAAAGAGCGCGUAGGCGGCAUAGCAAGUUGGAAGUGAAAGCCCGGGGCCUAACCUCGGAACUGCUUUCAAAACUGCUAAGCUAGAGUAUGGUAGGGGAUGAUGGAAUUCCUAGUGUAGAGGUGAAAUUCUUAGAUAUUAGGAGGAACACCGGUGGCGAAGGCGGUCAUCUGGGCCAUUACUGACGCUGAGGCGCGAAAGCGUGGGGAGCAAACAGG
rnacentral:rRNA from 1 species